rnacentral:rRNA from 1 species
UACGGAGGGAGCUAGCGUUGUUCGGAAUUACUGGGCGUAAAGCGCGCGUAGGCGGCUUUGUAAGUUAGAGGUGAAAGCCCGGGGCUCAACCCCGGAACUGCCUUUAAGACUGCAUCGCUUGAAUCCGGGAGAGGUGAGUGGAAUUCCGAGUGUAGAGGUGAAAUUCGUAGAUAUUCGGAAGAACACCAGUGGCGGAGGCGGCUCACUGGACCGGCAUUGACGCUGAUGUGCGAAAGCGUGGGGAGCAAACAGG